UGAAAGUUCAGUAAAUCUUCUCUCGAAUGUUCCUCUCGGCAUUGUGGAAGCAAGUGAAUGACCAUUGCUUCAGCUUCUUUGUAUGUGAAACAAAGGUUGAUGAAAAGAUCUAAAAAAAAAAACUCAUUGAGGUGAUAUGUUGACUUUGGAGGUGAGACCAUCGAUCGUGUGUAUUGGAAUGUAGAUAUUGAGAAAAACACAACUGUUGACAUUUUCAUUUGAUGUUCUGUACAAAUCUGUACACAAACCAUUGGAAGAACACAAAUCAAAGAAUGCGAAAAACACAACUGUUGACAUUUUCAUUUGAUGUUCUGUACAGAUCUGUACACAAACCAUUGAAAGAACACAAAUCAAAGAAUGCAAAGCCACACCUACAGCUCAUCACACAGAGCAGCUAAAAAGAAACAAUAAGAAAGAACAGCAUAAAGAAAAAGGGAAAAAAAAAAAAGAA